AUUGAACGCUGGCGGCAUGCCUUACACAUGCAAGUCGAACGGCAGCACGGGAGCAAUCCUGGUGGCGAGUGGCGAACGGGUGAGUAAUAUAUCGGAACGUGCCCAGUCGUGGGGGAUAACGUAGCGAAAGCUACGCUAAUACCGCAUACGAUCUAUGGAUGAAAGCGGGGGAUCGCAAGACCUCGCGCGAUUGGAGCGGCCGAUAUCAGAUUAGGUAGUUGGUGGGGUAAAGGCUCACCAAGCCGACGAUCUGUAGCUGGUCUGAGAGGACGACCAGCCACACUGGGACUGAGACACGGCCCAGACUCCUACGGGAGGCAGCAGUGGGGAAUUUUGGACAAUGGGCGCAAGCCUGAUCCAGCAAUGCCGCGUGCAGGAUGAAGGCCUUCGGGUUGUAAACUGCUUUUGUACGGAGCGAAAAGGCUCUCUCUAAUACAGGGGGCUCAUGACGGUACCGUAAGAAUAAGCACCGGCUAACUACGUGCCAGCCGCCGCAGUAAUAC
rnacentral:rRNA from 1 species